rnacentral:misc_RNA from 1 species
GGAAAACUAAGACUAUAUCUACCAUCUACACUCAAUUUUCUUCUCAAUUUUUUGCAAUAAUGGCCGAGGAUGACCAACUAAUUCUAUUGGAGUGGUAUCCUAGUGUUUUCGCAGCAAGGGUGAGGAUAGCCUUGGCUGAAAAGGGACUAAAGUAUGAGUCCAGACCUGAGGAUUUAAUCAACAAGAGCCCUCUUCUUUUGAAGAUGAACCCAGUUCACAAGCAAAUCCCAGUCUUGAUACAUAAGGGCAGACCCAUUUGCGGGUCAAUGGUAACAGUACAAUACAUUGAUGAGGUCUGGAGCCACAAAUCUCCAUUGUUGCCCUCUGAUCCUCUACAACGAGCACAUGCCAAGUUCUGGGCUGACUAUGUCGACAAGAAGAUUUUCGGUAUAGGAUCGUCGAAGAAGGAGCUGAUUGAGUGCUUUAAAAUAUUGGAGGAAGAGCUUGGAG